rnacentral:lncRNA from 1 species
UUACCUUCAAGAAGGUCAAGGGGCCUUCGCAAGGUUAAACGGAAGCAAAAGAAGAGAUGGAGAAGCACUGGAGGGACAUGCGUGCCACAUGCAUAAGCAGGUCAAGGACAGGUCAUUCCAGUGUCACCUGUGUGCCAUAAGAGUGAGCAAGUAAAGGAUAGGUCAAGGGCAUGCAUCAAUUUUCUGAAAUGAUUCACUUUUGGACCCAUAAGUUGUAAUAAUUAAUCCUAAACUAUAAAUAGGAGUUCUCUUUCAUUUUCUA